rnacentral:hammerhead_ribozyme from 1 species
CCACUGCUGUGGAGUCCCAUACUAGGACGAAACGGCCGUUCAGUGC